GGGGCUAUAGCUCAGUUGGUAGAGCGCUUGCAUGGCAUGCAAGAGGUCAAGGGUUCAAUUCCCUUUAGCUCCA
rfam:Streptomyces cattleya DSM 46488, complete genome.